UCAAGAGAUCGAGGCGAUCGCGGGCGGACUUGAUCCGCCUGAGGAAAGUCCGAACUCCACAGAGCACGCUGCCGGCUAACGGCCGGGCGCAGUGAUGCGCGGAACAGGGCCACAGAAACAGCCUGCCCUCAAGGGCGAUGGUGAAAAGGUGAGGUAAGAGCUCACCGGCGGCGCAGAGAUGUGUCCGGCCAGGCAACCCCCAGCGGGAGCAAGGUCAAGCAGCGAGCGCCAUCUUCGGGUGGACAGCGGCGGCUCGUCGCCUGUCUCGCGGGUAGACCGCACGAGCCGGUGAGUAAUCACCGGCCUAGAGAAAUGAUCGCCGCCCGAUUCCGAUCGGGUACAGAAUUCGGCUUAUCGAUCUCUUGAGCGC
rnacentral:RNase_P_RNA from 1 species